rnacentral:rRNA from 1 species
AUUGAACGCUGGUGGCAUGCUUAACACAUGCAAGUCGAACGGCAGCAUGACAGUAGCUUGCUACUGUUGAUGGCGAGUGGCGGACGGGUGAGUAAUGCGUAGGAAUCUGCCUACUAGUGGGGGAUAACCCAGGGAAACUUGGGCUAAUACCGCAUAAGUUCUGAGGAAGAAAGAGGGGACCGCAAGGCCUCUUGCUAGUAGAUGAGCCUACGUCGGAUUAGCUAGUUGGUGGGGUAAAGGCCCACCAAGGCAGUGAUCCGUAGCUGGUCUGAGAGGAUGAUCAGCCACACUGGGACUGAGACACGGCCCAGACUCCUACGGGAGGCAGCAGUGGGGAAU